AUAAAAAUCACAAAAAAUGAACCAAAAGAUUACAUCAGCUUGAUUCUUUACACUGUUUUUAAAAUUGAUAUUGAUGCAAAUUCAGUUUUUAUAUUUUAUAGUGGACUUUAUGGAAAUAACUGUUGUGAAAGGGCAAUAUUAAAUUAUAUAACUGUAUGUGCAAAAGUCUUAUGCUACUAUAUUCACCCAAAAAAGGCUUAUUUCUUUCUAUCUUUUGCUGUAGUGGGGCAGAAAUAUCAGUUUACAUUUCCAAACAUUCCUUUUGCCAUUAAUUGCAAUAAUCCAGUGAGAUAUAUAUGUAAUAAUAAUAUAUAUGAUAUAAUAUAUAAUAACAUUGUGCAGAUUCUACCAGGUAUGAAGGAAUAUAACAUAAACGUGGACAUCUCUGUCUAUGUGUGUGCCGUUUUAGGAGGAAUAAAGAUGAGCAGGAGAGCGUGGCGACAGGGGCUCGUUCUCACUCUGCAGAAGGGCAGAUGUCCCAGAAUGCCUCUCUGCGAGACACGCUUGUCACUGCUGUUGACCUCUGACCCCGUGGAGCUCUCUGUCUGUCUGACACUCCCUCUGAAGGACGUGUGCCUCCCGCCCGGAGUCCCAUACGCAAAAGAGUGAGGAAAGCAGUGAAUAUUUUAUCUGCGUCUGUAUACCAAAAGAUCUGUGUACACGUAGAAAUAUAGAAAUAUAUGUCAGGGUUUAUUCUUAUCGCUCAGUUUUAAUGUUUAAUUUGUCUGGUUUUAUUUAAUGUAUUCUGGAUGAAAGGAAAGAGGAAGUGUGUGCUUAAAUACAUACACAACACAAACACACACACCAAGUCUUUUCAUGCAUUGUUUACUGUCAUGUAUUGAAUGUUAAGUGUACAGGUCAGUUGCAAGCAGGAAUGUGAAUAUGUCUGUGAAGAGAUUCAGUAUUUACAAUAUUUGAUGUGCUCUUUUUAUGUGCAUCGCUGACUGAUCAUAUGUGAAUAAAAUCUUUAUAACAUUGUUUUACACUUUUUGAAGCAUGAAAAUUGUAGUUGUGUUGACUUUUUUAAUGGAUGCUUUUAAAAAUGAAUAUAAUUGCACCUAAUUGAAUCUUCAGUGCAUUUAAAUUAAAAUAUAUUCAAAUUUAUAUUAAAUGCAAUUAGGGGAACAUUGCGGAGAUUUUAAACCCACUUAACUAGG
rnacentral:lncRNA from 1 species